rnacentral:rRNA from 1 species
UGGGGAAUUUUCCGCAAUGGGCGAAAGCCUGACGGAGCAAUACCGCGUGAGGGAGGAAGGCUCUUGGGUUGUAAACCUCUUUUCUCAGGGAAGAAUAAUGACGGUACCUGAGGAAUAAGCAUCGGCUAACUCCGUGCCAGCAGCCGCGGUAAUACGGAGGAUGCAAGCGUUAUCCGGAAUGAUUGGGCGUAAAGCGUCCGCAGGUGGCAAUGUAAGUCUGCUGUCAAAGCGUCUGGCUCAACCAGAUAAAGGCAGUGGAAACUACAUAGCUAGAGUAAGGUAGGGGUAGAGGGAAUUCCUGGUGUAGCGGUGAAAUGCGUAGAGAUCAGGAAGAACACCGGUGGCGAAAGCGCUCUGCUGGACCUUAACUGACACUGAGGGACGAAAGCUAGGGGAGCGAAUGGGAUUAGAUACCCCAGUAGUCCUAGCCGUAAACGAUGGAUACUAGGCGUUGCCCGUAUCGACCCGGGCAGUGUCGUAGCUAACGCGUUAAGUAUCCCGCCUGGGGAGUACGCAGGC